GACGAACGCUGGCGGCGUGCUUAACACAUGCAAGUCGAACGGAAAGGCCCUGCUUUUGUGGGGUGCUCGAGUGGCGAACGGGUGAGUAACACGUGAGUAACCUGCCCUUGACUUUGGGAUAACUUCAGGAAACUGGGGCUAAUACCGGAUAGGAGCUCCUGCUGCAUGGUGGGGGUUGGAAAGUUUCGGCGGUUGGGGAUGGACUCGCGGCUUAUCAGCUUGUUGGUGGGGUAGUGGCUUACCAAGGCUUUGACGGGUAGCCGGCCUGAGAGGGUGACCGGCCACAUUGGGACUGAGAUACGGCCCGGACUCAUACGGGAGGCAGCAGUGGGGAAUAUUGCACAAUGGGCGGAAGCCUGAUGCAGCAACGCCGCGUGCGGGAUGACGGCCUUCGGGUUGUAAACCGCUUUCGCCUGUGACGAAGCGUGAGUGACGGUAAUGGGUAAAGAAGCACCGGCUAACUACGU
rnacentral:rRNA from 1 species